rnacentral:rRNA from 1 species
UACGUAGGGGGCAAGCGUUGUCCGGAAUUAUUGGGCGUAAAGAGCGCGUAGGCGGUCCGAUAAGUCGGCUGUGAAAGUCAGGGGCUCAACCCUUGAAAGCCGGCCGAUACUGUCGGACUAGAGUCCGGAAGAGGCAAGUGGAAUUCCUGGUGUAGCGGUGAAAUGCGCAGAUAUCAGGAGGAACACCGGUGGCGAAGGCGGGUCUCUGGGCCGGAACUGACGCUGAGGAGCGAAAGCGUGGGGAGCGAACAGG